UACGAAGGGUGCAAGCGUUACUCGGAAUUACUGGGCGUAAAGCGUGCGUAGGUGGUUUGUUAAGUCUGUUGUGAAAGCCCCGGGCUCAACCUGGGAAUGGCAAUGGAUACUGGCAGGCUAGAGUGCGGUAGAGGGUAGUGGAAUUCCCGGUGUAGCGGUGAAAUGCGUAGAGAUCGGGAGGAACAUCAGUGGCGAAGGCAGCCCCCUGGGUCAAUACUGACGCUCAUGCACGAAAGCGUGGGGAGCAAACAGG
rnacentral:rRNA from 1 species